CAUUGCCUUGUGCACUGCUGAAUCUACGGUCUCCUGCUGCAGGUCAUGAAUCGGCUUCUGUGGUGAGUAGUUGUCCGACUGGCCUGGGGUAGGGUGCUGCAUCCUACUCUCUACCUUUCCUUAGAAUUCAUCAAAUAUUCUUUCCAGCCUGGACAAGAUAUCCUGCUUUUCCCUUGUGCUAUCAGGGGUCCACAUGGUGUCUGCCAUCAUAGGUGAGUAACAUGAUUUCACCC